rnacentral:lncRNA from 1 species
UACAGCUACUCAACAUCAGGAAGAGCCUUGUACCAUGCAUAUCAGUAGCAGAGAUCAUUGACCCACACAAAGAUAAUGAGUUUUGAACUCAAUCGAUGAGAUCUAAUGUUAGAACUGAUUCAGGACAUCGAUGUGAUCGAUGUAGUUUUUAUUUACAUCAGAUUUUGUAUGCAAAACUUUUUUGCUAUAGAUCCUUAAAGGUAGUUUAGAUCUAAUCUAAAUCAUGUAUAGGAGAUUAAAGUAUUUAAUCUAUUAUCUUUUGCUAUAAAAAUUUUAAAAAUACAUGCUUUGAACUGUCUAUUUCUUCUUCAAAUGAUAUCA